rnacentral:rRNA from 1 species
AUUGAACGCUGGCGGCAUGCCUUACACAUGCAAGUCGAACGGUAACGCGGGGCAACCUGGCGACGAGUGGCGAACGGGUGAGUAAUGCAUCGGAACGUGCCCAGUAGUGGGGGAUAGCCCGGCGAAAGCCGGAUUAAUACCGCAUACGACCUACGGGUGAAAGGGGGGGAUCGCAAGACCUCUCGCUAUUGGAGCGGCCGAUGUCAGAUUAGGUAGUUGGUGGGGUAAAGGCCCACCAAGCCUUCGAUCUGUAGCUGGUCUGAGAGGACGACCAGCCACACUGGGACUGAGACACGGCCCAGACUCCUACGGGAGGCAGCAGUGGGGAAUUUUGGACAAUGGGCGCAAGCCUGAUCCAGCCAUGCCGCGUGCGUGAAGAAGGCCUUCGGGUUGUAAACCGCUUUUGUCAGGGAAGAAACACUCUGGGCUAAUACCUCGGGGUAAUGACGGUACCUGAAGAAUAAGCACCGGCUAACUACGUGCCAGCCGCCGCAGUAA